GACGGAGGGGGCUAGCGUUGUUCGGAAUUACUGGGCGUAAAGCGCACGUAGGCGGAUUUGUUAGUCAGGGGUGAAGUCCCGGGGCUCAACCUCGGAACUGCCUUUGAUACUGCAAAUCUCGAGUCCGAUAGAGGUGGGUGGAAUUCCUAGUGUAGAGGUGAAAUUCGUAGAUAUUAGGAAGAACACCGGUGGCGAAGGCGGCCCACUGGAUCGGUACUGACGCUGAGGUGCGAAAGCGUGGGGAGCAAACAGG
rnacentral:rRNA from 1 species